CCCCCGGUAGCUCAGCUGGAAGAGCGUGAGACUGUAAUUGGAUGAAUUAUCUCAAGGCCACUGGUUCGAUCCCGGUCUGGGGGA
rfam:Pleurotus ostreatus PC15 unplaced genomic scaffold scaffold_09, whole genome shotgun sequence.